UGCCUCCCAGGUUCAAGCGAUUCUCCUGCCUCAUCCUCCUGAGUAGCUAGGAUUACAGGCAUGUGCCACCACACCUGGCUAAUUUUGUAUUUUUAGUAGAGACAGGGUUUCACCAUGUUGGUCAGGCUGGUCUGGAACUCCUGACCUCAGGUGAUCCACCCGCCUCGGCCUCCCAAAGUGCUGGGAUUACAGGCUUGAGCCACCAUGCCUGACCUAGGCUGAUUUUCAAUGCUGUCUUUUUCAAGAAAUCAUGGUAUGUUUCUCCAUUUCUUCAGAUCUUUAAAAAACAUCUAUUUUAAUGAAUUUUUACAGUUUUCUUCUUAUACGUCUUUCAUGUUUCUUAAGUUUAUUCCUAGGUAUUUAAUUUUUUUUUUUUAACUGUGGAAGUAGGAUUUAAAAACUUACUAUUAUAUUUUCACUUUUGGCAUGAGAGAAAGCUAGUUUCUUUCUUUACAUAUCUUGUACCUGACUACUUAACUCUUAGUUCUAUUUUCUGUAUAUUCUUCCCUGUAAGUUUGCCCAUAGUUACCUUUGUUCUGAAAAGGAGGGAAUUAUUUUUCCUUCUCCUUUCUGGACUAAAUAGUCUCUUGUUUUUAGGGCUCUGGACCUGGACUUGUGCUAUUAGGGCUAUAGUUGAAUAGCAGCAAGGGAUAUCAUCUUUGUGGCCUUGCAAGGGAACAUAACCAGCAGACAUAAUCUUAUUUCUGUGGGAAAUGUUGUUCUAAAUGCCAAAGUCCAAAUUACAAAAGACUUUUUGAAUGCACUUCGUUCAAAAAGAACAACAUUUGGGCUGCUUUUAGAUUGUGCACUGCGUUUAAAUUACGGAAUCUGUUUGAAUUUCAGGAGCGUGAGGAUCAUCCCCGGAGAGGACGGGAGGAUCGGCAGCACAGGGAACCAUUGGAACAGGAACACAGGAGAGCUAGGAACAGUGACCGGGACAGACACCGGGGCCAUUCCCACCAAAGGAGAACGUCUAACGAGAGGCCUGGGAGUGGGCAGGGUCAGGGACGGGAUCGAGACACUCAGAACCUGCAGGCUCAGGAAGAAGAGCGGGAGUUUUAUAAUGCCAGGCGACGGGAGCAUCGCCAGAGGAAUGACGUUGGUGGUGGUGGCAGUGAGUCUCAGGAGUUGGUUCCUCGGCCUGGUGGCAACAACAAAGAAAAAGAGGUGCCCACUAAAGAAAAACCAAGCUUUGAACUUUCUGGGGCACUUCUUGAGGACACCAACACUUUCCGGGGUGUAGUCAUUAAAUAUAGUGAGCCCCCAGAAGCACGUAUCCCCAAAAAACGGUGGCGUCUCUAUCCAUUUAAAAAUGAUGAGGUGCUUCCAGUCAUGUACAUACAUCGACAGAGUGCGUACCUACUGGGUCGACACCGCCGCAUUGCAGACAUUCCAAUCGAUCACCCAUCUUGUUCAAAGCAGCAUGCAGUAUUUCAAUAUCGGCUUGUGGAAUAUACCCGUGCUGAUGGCACGGUUGGCCGAAGAGUGAAGCCCUACAUCAUUGACCUUGGCUCAGGCAAUGGAACCUUCUUAAACAACAAACGUAUUGAGCCACAGAGAUACUAUGAACUAAAAGAAAAGGAUGUACUCAAAUUUGGAUUCAGUAGCAGAGAAUACGUCUUGCUCCAUGAGUCGUCGGACACUUCUGAAAUAGACAGGAAAGACGACGAGGAUGAGGAGGAGGAGGAAGAAGUGUCUGACAGCUAGCAAACUAAGAACCCAAACUAUUGAGACACGUUUUCCUUCUUGGAAGGCUUUGAUUGACUCAGAGAGCACUAUGGUGGUGGGUCCGGCACUAUGGUGCUCUCUGUAAUGCCUCUUAUUGCCUUAAGUCUUUCCUCUGUUGCUGACCAGAUUGUGUUACCAUUUGAAUACACUGACUAAUGUUUGUUAAACUUUUUCUGUGGCACCUUGGUCACAUGCCUGCAGGCAUUUGUUUUCAGAACAGUCUCACCAAUUACAUCACACCGUGUUUUAGUAGAAGUGUUGUGGUUUUAGUUGGUGCUUUCAGAACUGCUGCCUAGGAAACUAUAAACCCUUGGUUAAGGGGAAAUCAUGGCUUGUUCUCUUUGUAUAGUUCCUUUAUUUAUAUAGGUGUUAAGCUUUGUGGACCAGGUGUUUUUCUUUUGGGGCAAACCCCUGAGCAGAGAAUCUUACUAGGCUUUGGUUAUCACCAAAACAACCUCCAGUAUAUACCAAAGCUUUGACCUGGUUGAGCUCUUGAGCUUAGAAGUUGAUUUUGCACUUAUUUUUUGGGGGGCUGCAGUCAGUAAACAUUGACUGUUUAACUUAAACAGAUGCUUUAUGGCACCUGCUCAAGCCCGUGACUGUACAGAAGGAUCCUGGUUGCUACCAGUGGGUGCUGAUUCAGCAUCACAAGUGACUGAAAUUGGCCGUGGAUCUGUUCUUUGCGAAAGAAUUCCUGAUUUCUCCAUGGAGCAUGUACACAACAAUUUUGAUCAUAUUAACUGCACUUCAGUUUUGCAUUUUAAUUCAAAUGUUAUCUCUUUUUUUCUUUGAGAAAUAAACUGUCACUGAUGUGACAGCAUUCUUACUUUAUUCUAAUAACAUGUAUAUGUCUAAAGCAGGUUGUGUUGUUUACAUGUUUCUACACAUUUCAUCCUUUAAAAAAUUGUUGAGAGAGGUUGUAUUUACCUUCCCAAGGUUGGAAAGCAGGGGAAUUUCCCAGUGUCCUAGUUUUCCACCAGAGGAAUAUGUGUAAGUAGCAAAGUAUUUGCUGCUUACAUAUAG
rnacentral:sRNA from 1 species